rnacentral:rRNA from 1 species
CAGUCGCCGCGGUAAUACGUAGGGUGCAAGCGUUACUCGGAAUUACUGGGCGUAAAGCGUGCGUAGGUGGUGGUUUAAGUCCGUUGUGAAAGCCCUGGGCUCAACCUGGGAAUUGCAGUGGAUACUGGGUCACUAGAGUGUGGUAGAGGAUAGUGGAAUUUCCGGUGUAGCAGUGAAAUGCGUAGAGAUCGGAAGGAACAUCUGUGGCGAAGGCGACUAUCUGGGCCAACACUGACACUGAGGCACGAAAGCGUGGGGAGCAAACAGGAUUAGAUACCCGUGUAGUCCCUGUCUCUUAUAC